AUUGAACGCUGGCGGCAGGCCUAACACAUGCAAGUCGAGCGGAGGAAGGGAGCUUGCUCCUGGAUUCAGCGGCGGACGGGUGAGUAAUGCCUAGGAAUCUGCCUGGUAGUGGGGGAUAACGUCCGGAAACGGGCGCUAAUACCGCAUACGUCCUGAGGGAGAAAGUGGGGGAGCUUCGGACCUCACGCUAUCAGAUGAGCCUAGGUCGGAUUAGCUAGUUGGUGGGGUAAAGGCCUACCAAGGCGACGAUCCGUAACUGGUCUGAGAGGAUGAUCAGUCACACUGGAACUGAGACACGGUCCAGACUCCUACGGGAGGCAGCAGUGGGGAAUAUUGGACAGUGGGCGAAAGCCUGAUCCAGCCAUGCCGCGUGUGUGAAGAAGGUCUUCGGAUUGUAAAGCACUUUAAGUUGGGAGGAAGGGCAGUAAGUUAAUACCUUGCUGUUUUGACGUUACCAACAGAAUAAGCACCGGCUAACUUCGUG
rnacentral:rRNA from 1 species